rnacentral:lncRNA from 1 species
UCCGAAAUUACAAACAUUCCCAAAACACCAUGAAUAAGAAACUACAAGACACAUACAUAACACUAUGACUACAGGUAUAUCGACAAACUAAGCACUCAGCCUUACUAUACACUAUGACUACAGGUAUAUUGAUACACUAAACACUCUUCCCUACUAUACACUAUGACGACAGGUAUAUCGACAAACUAAGCACUCUUCCUUACUAUACAGUAUACACUAUGACUACAGAUAUAUCGACAAACAAAGCACUCCUCCCUACUAUACAUUACGACUAUAGGUAUAUCGACAAACUAAGCACUCCUCCCUACUAGUAAGGACGCACUCCUAACCACCACUCUUCUAUCCUACUCCGCAUCCUCCACACUUUCCUAUCAAGGGUCAUGUCCUCUGUAUAAGCUGUAACAGCUCCAUGUCAUGCCUAAUCACUUCUCUCCAAUAUUUCUUCGGCAUCCAUAGCAAGCCUCCCACAGCGUAAUGCUACGAAUUAUCUAUCCAAAAUCACAAACAUCCCCAAGACACCACGAAUAACAAAUUACAAGACACAUGCAUAACGCUAUGAACAGGUAUAUCGACAAACAAAACACUCCUCCAUACUAGUAAGUACGCACUCCUACACACUAACCCUCUAUCCUACUCCGCAUCCUCCACAUUUUCCUAUUAAGUGUCAUGCCCUCUAUAAGCAGUAACUGUUCCAUGUCAUGCCUAAUCACUUCCCUCCAAUAUUUCUUCGGCCUACCACUACCCCAUCAGAAACCAUCCAUAGCAAGCCUCUUAAUGCUAUAAAUUAUCUAUCCAAAAUUACAAACAUCCCCAAAACACCACGAAAAAGAGACUACAAAACACAUGGAUAACACUACGACUACAGGUAUAUCGACAAACUAAGCACUCCUCCCUACUAUAUACUAGGACUACAGGUAUAUCGACAAAUAAAACACUCUUCUCUACUAUUACGAACACACUACUACCUACUAACCCUCUAUCCUAAUCUGCGUCUUCCACACUUUCCUUGCAAGGAUCAUGUCCACAGUAAGCUGCAACUGCUCUGCGUCAUGCCUAAUUGCUUUCCUCCAAUAUUUCUUCGGCCUAACACUACCCCCCAUCAG